rnacentral:rRNA from 1 species
CCUACGGGUGGCAGCAGUGGGGAAUAUUGCGCAAUGGGCGAAAGCCUGACGCAGCGACGCCGCGUGAGCGAUGAAGUAUUUCGGUAUGUAAAGCUCUAUCAGCAGGGAAGAAAAUGACGGUACCUGACUAAGAAGCCCCGGCUAACUACGUGCCAGCAGCCGCGGUAAUACGUAGGGGGCAAGCGUUAUCCGGAUUUACUGGGUGUAAAGGGAGCGUAGACGGUCCUGCAAGCCAGAUGUGAAAGCCCGGGGCCCAACCCCGGGACUGCCCUUGGAACUGCAUGGCUGGAGUGCGGGAGGGGCAGGCGGAAUUCCUGGUGUAGCGGUGAAAUGCGUAGAUAUCAGGAGGAACACCGGCGGCGAAGGCGGCCUGCUGGACCGCGACUGACGUUGAGGCUCGAAAGCGUGGGGAGCGAACAGGAUUAGAUACCCCUGUAGUC